UCUGUUUUAUCAUAGGCACACAGAAAACUGUGCUGCACUGAUGUCGGUGUUGGGACCUCAGCUGUAAGAGACCUUUCUUUGAGGAGGGAGAGGACAAGAUGUGACAAUGGAAUCUUCCAACCCUGUUCAUAAGACACCCACAUAUAUUGUCUAUGAAAACUGCCUCCUGGAGCUGUUUGAGAUUACAUGGAUAACCUGUUGGACCUCAUCUUUCACAAGGUUUUUCAGGACCCGGCCCCAUAUGUGAAUGAGGUGCUGAAGAUCUCAAAACCUGAGGAUCUCUCUGCCUAAUAUGAGAAACCUGACAAGCAGGAAGUUAUAGCCAGCUAUGUGUCGAGUUUCAAUCAAGGGCAGGUCUGAACCCUGUAUAACUUCCCUGAGCAUCAGGGAACACUCUGCGUAUCUGGAGCACCGAGCAGGAGGGCAGGACCACCCUGAUUCUCCGGCCCAGAGGGCCUCAACACCAGCUCACAAAGCUUCUGUACGCCAAAUCCAUGUAACGGCUGAGCAAAGUUCACAUUGUAUUUAGAGAAUAAAAGGUGACACACAAAUAUAAAGUGUUCCUUUGUUUACAGUAUAGCUACUGAUGGCACAAAUUGUAUUUUUGUAAUGAAUGUAUUUAUUAUACUUGGUAUUUUAU